AGCUCACUUCUCUGACCCUGUUUCUUUCCUCAAGGCCUGGGGGUGGGGUUCUCUGAGGACCAGUAGGGCGCUCCCUCUCAGCAUCUUAGGGAAGCCACUGAGCUGACAGGAAGAUGGCCCAGACAGCCAAGGGAGAGACACCUGGGCUCACCUCUCCAGCUGCUCGGCUGUGACCAGCUCCUUUACCUCAAGGCCUUGGUUUCCUCAUGGAUAAAUGAAGAGAAUGAGCCUAACUGGGAGAAUCCCAAUGUGGUCACUGUGAGAUGACCCUUCCUGGGUCAGGCUCACAGGUGCACUGGAAGACUUGGCUGCGGUGACUAUCACUAUCACUGUUAUUUCCUUUCCAUGGGAAAGGCGAAGUCUCAAGGAUGUCUUGCAGUACCGCUGCAGGAUUUUCCUGUAGAGACAGCACAUCGAGGUCUUUGUCCCAGGAAGCAGCUUGGUUCGAGCAGUGCUGACCGGGCAGGUUUGCGCCAGAGGCUGAGGGCCGGACCUGGUGCGCUGCGCUCUUUCCCAGUGUUUGCGUCUCUGUCUCCCUCUUUCCCUGGUACACACUAACACUUUGCAGUCUGGCUGGGGAUGGUUUAUGUUACAGUUGCAUUGGAGCUACACACGACACACAGGCGGCUGAGGUUGCAUCGUGAAAGACCCCGCUGAACCCCAGCACGGCAGCGUAACAAACGGUAUGAUAUCGCUUAGUCGGUGAUGAACUUCGCACAUCGUCUCGUGGACUCCAUCCGCACGGUCACCAGCGCAUCUCUGUUUCUCCACGGCACAGCCAUGGGGCUCAGCAAGGCGGAGAGACCUUGGGGAGCUCCGUGUUCAGCGGAACCAGAAAUCAAGUUAGAGUGCCGAAAGGAGGAGCCUGGUAACCCACUCACCUCCAACCCCAAACCGGGCUCCCAGUCACUCCUGUCCAUGUGUCCAGCAGGGCCGGUUCCAAGGAUGCCUGAAGCCUCCACCACCCGUUUACACAAGUCACCGCCUGCGAUUAAACUGAGUCUGCAGAUGUAUUCGGGUUGUGUCAUUGUCAUGGUGCUUGCUUUAUCUACUCCACUGGCAACGUGUAAAAAAGUUUCUAGGCUUCUUCUAAAAAAGUAGCACAUCCUAAUAGUCAAGUGAACCUCGGAAGUGGUCCCUCUAAAAGAGACAUGUCUCACACCCAGAUGGCCUCACUCACACCCGACUGGGACAUGUUUGAAUCUGUAGGCAUUGGACUCUGCAACCUGUGCUGUAUGUUCUCACAACCAAGAGCACACCUCCCCAGCACUCCCACUGAAGUCAGAGCUGCCCCUGAAAUAACGCUUUCUCCUCCGUGAGGCUGAUCUUGGUUCCAUGAGCUGCAGAUAACCCUCCUCCUCUGCUUUCCUUGAAGCCUGGUGGCUGGUGCCUCUGCUCAUGGCUCUAUAACAGGCUCCCCCAAAUCUCUGUCUCCACUAAACCAUAAGUAAUUUGAGGGCAAGGACUAAUCCUUAUUCCUCCUUUGUCCCCUACACUGCCUAACACCACAAUUUAUACUUUUUAAAUGUCCAAAAAAGUGGUGUUGACUUGAACAUAUUUCAUUUCCUUCCAUCAGUAGUUAAACUUGCCAAAAGAAGCCAACUCAUGAGUGAUAUUUUCACCUUUCACAUCUAGAGUAAAAGUCUAUUAGUGCUGAUAGCAUCUGCUUCUCACUAAAGGUGUCAUCUAGGGAGGAAACAAAUGGUUUUCCAAAGUUCUAUUGUUUUAAAAUUGUAAGCUCUUAAAUAAAUCAUUCUUCCAAAAAG